rnacentral:rRNA from 1 species
UACGGGGGGAGCAAGCGUUGUUCGGAUUUACUGGGCGUAAAGGGCGCGUAGGCGGCCAGCACAAGUCAGUUGUGAAAUCUCCGAGCUUAACUCGGAAAGGUCAACUGAUACUGUGCGGCUAGAGUGCGGAAGGGGCAACUGGAAUUCUUGGUGUAGCGGUGAAAUGCGUAGAUAUCAAGAGGAACACCUGCGGCGAAGGCGGGUUGCUAGGCCGACACUGACGCUGAUGCGCGAAAGCCAGGGGAGCGAACGGG